UACGUAGGGUGCAAGCGUUAAUCGGAAUUACUGGGCGUAAAGCGUGCGCAGGCGGUUUUGUAAGUCUGUCGUGAAAGCCCCGGGGCUCAACCUGGGAAUUGCGAUGGAGACUGCAAGGCUUGAAUCUGGCAGAGGGGGGGUAGAAAUUCCACGUGUAGCAGGUGAAAUGCGUAGAGAUGUGGAGGAACACCGAUGGCGAAGGCAGCCCCCGGGUCAAGAUUGACGCUCA
rnacentral:rRNA from 1 species